rnacentral:rRNA from 1 species
GUGAGGAAUAUUGCGCAAUGGAGGCAACUCUGACGCAGCCAUGCCGCGUGCAGGAAGAAGGCGCUACGCGUUGUAAACUGCUUUUAACCGGGAAGAAACCCCAGGACGUGUCCUGGGUUGACGGUACCGGAGGAAUAAGCACCGGCUAACUUCGUGCCAGCAGCCGCGGUAAUACGAAGGGUGCAAGCGUUAUCCGGAUUCAUUGGGUUUAAAGGGUGCGUAGGCGGAACGUUAAGUCAGUGGUGAAAUCCUGCAGCGUAACUGUAGACUUGCCAUUGAUACUGGCGCUCUUGAGUGCGCUUGAAGUGGGCGGAAUGUGCCGUGUAGCGGUGAAAUGCUUAGAUAUGGCACAGAACACCAAUUGCGAAGGCAGCUCACUAAGGCGAUACUGACGCUGAGGCACGAAAGCGUGGGGAUCGAACAGGAUUAGAAACCCGGGUAGUCC